rnacentral:rRNA from 1 species
CCCUUAGAUGUUCUGGGCCGCACGCGCGCUACACUGAUUCACGCAACAAGUUUUGUCCUUGGCUGAUAGGCCUGGGUAAUCUUUGAACGUGAAUCGUGAUGGGGAUAGAUGAUUGCAAUUAUUCAUCUUCAACGAGGAAUUCCUAGUAAACGCAAGUCAUCAGCUUGCAUUGAUUACGUCCCUGCCCUUUGUACACACCGCCCGUCGCACCUACCGAUUGAAUGGUCCGGUGAAAUCUUCGGAUCUGAGAGAUGUCUGAUUAAUUUCGGACGCCUUUUGGAAAAGUUGCUUAAACCUUACCAUUUAGAGGAAGGUGAAGUCGUAACA